rnacentral:rRNA from 1 species
AAUCAACGCUGGCGGCGUGCCUAACACAUGCAAGUCGAACGCGAGAGCCCCGCAAGGGGCAAGUAGAGUGGCAAACGGGUGAGUAACACGUGGGUGACCUGCCUUCGAGCGGGGGAGUAACGUCCCGAAAGGGACGCUAAUACCGCAUAACAUCCUGCCUUUGAAGAGGUGGAGAUCAAAGCUGGGGAUCGCAAGACCCGGCACUUGAAGAGGGGCCCGCGCCUGAUUAGCUAGNGGUGGGUAAUGCCUACCAAGGCAACGAUCAGUAUCCGCCUGAGAGGGCGGACGGACACACUGGGACUGAGACACGGCCCAGACUCCUACGGGAGGCAGCAGUGGGGAAUUGUUCGCAAUGGGCGCAAGCCUGACGACGCAACGCCGCGUGGA